GACGAACGCUGGCGGCGUGCUUAACACAUGCAAGUCGAACGCUGAAGCUCAGCUUGCUGGGUGGAUGAGUGGCGAACGGGUGAGUAACACGUGAGUAACCUGACCUCUUCUUUGGGAUAACGCCCGGAAACGGGUGCUAAUACUGGAUAUUCACUGAUUCUCGCAUGGGGGUGGGUGGGAAGGUUGUUUCUGGUGGGGGAUGGGCUCGCGGCCUAUCAGCUUGUUGGUGGGGUGAUGGCCUACCAAGGCUUUGACGGGUAGCCGGCCUGAGAGGGUGACCGGUCACAUUGGGACUGAGAUACGGCCCAGACUCCUACGGGAGGCAGCAGUGGGGAAUAUUGCACGAUGGGCGAAAGCCUGAUGCAGCGACGCCGCGUGAGGGAUGGAGGCCUUCGGGUUGUAAACCUCUUUCGCUCAUGGUCAAGCCGCAGCUUUGGGUUGUGGUGAGGGUAGUGGGUAAAGAAGCGCCGGCUAACUACGUG
rnacentral:rRNA from 1 species